UUGAACGAAGUACAAUGAGGUUUGAUUAUGGCUCAGAUUGAACGCUGGCGGGAUGCUUUACACAUGCAAGUCGAACGGCAGCACGGACUUCGGUCUGGUGGCGAGUGGCGAACGGGUGAGUAAUGUAUCGGAACGUGCCUAGUAGCGGGGGAUAACUACGCGAAAGCGUAGCUAAUACCGCAUACGCCCUUCGGGGGAAAGCGGGGACCCUGGCCUCGCACCAUAGAGCGGCCGAUAUCGGAUUAGCUAGUUGCGGGGUAACGGCUCACCAAGGCGACGAUCCGUAGCUGGUUUGAGAGGACGACCAGCCACACUGGGACUGAGACACGGCCCAGACUCCUACGGGAGGCAGCAGUGGGGGAAUUUUUGGACAAUGGGGGAAACCCCGAUCCAUAUCCCGCGUGUGCGAUGAAGGCCUUCGGGUUGUAAAGCACUUUGGCAGGAAAGAAACGGCACGGGAUAAUACCCGUGCAACUGACGGUACCAGCAGAAUAAGCACCGGCUAACUACGUGCCAGCAGCCGCGGUAAUACGUAGGGUGCAAGCGUUAAUCGGAAUUACUGGGCGAAAGCGUGCGCAGGCGUUCUGGAAAGAAAGAUGAAACUUCAGAGCUAACUUUGAACUGCAUUUUAACUACCGAGCUAGAGUGUGUCAGAGGGAGGUGGGACCCGCGUGUAGCAGUGAAAUGCGUAGAUAUGCGGAGGAACACCGAUGGCGAAGGCAGCCUCCUGGGAUAACACUGACGCUCAUGCACGAAAGCGUGGGGAGCAAACAGGAUUAGAUACCCUGGUAGUCCACGCCCUAAACGAUGUCAACUAGCUGUUGUGGGGCCUUUCGGGCCUUGGUAGCGCAGCUAACGCGUGAAGUUGACCGCCUGGGGAGUACGGUCGCAAGAUUAAAACUCAAAGGAAUUGACGGGGACCCGCACAAGCGGUGGAUGAUGUGGAUUAAUUCGAUGCAACGCGAAAAACCUUACCUACCCUUGACAUGUUCGAAUCCCGAAGAGAUUUGGGAGUGCUCGCAAGAGAAAUCCGGGAACACAGGUGCUGGGCAUGUAUUGCCGCUAGCUCGUGUCGUGAGAUGUUGGGUUAAGUCCCGCAAACGAGCGCAACCUCUUUGCUGGCGAAGUGGUUACAAAGGGCACUGCAUCGAGACUGCCGGUGACAAACCGGAGGAAGGUGGGGAUGACGUCAAGUCCUCAUGGCCCUUAUGGGUAGGGCUUCACACGUCAUACAAUGGUCGGGACAGAGGGUCGCCAACCCGCGAGGGGGAGCCAAUCCAGAAACCCGAUCGUAGUCCGGAUCGCAGUCUGCAACUGACUGCGUGAAGUCGGAAUCGCUAGUAAUCGCGGAUCAGCAUGUCGCGUGAAUACGUUCCCGGGUCUUGUACACACUGCCCGUCACACCAUGGGAGUGGGUUUUACCAGAAGUAGUUAGCCUAACUGCAAGGAGGGCGAUUACCACGGUAGGAUUCAUGACUGGGGGAAGUCGUAACAAGGUAG
rnacentral:rRNA from 1 species